UCAGUGGACGACCACUGACGUAUUGAUUAAACCGGGACGACCCGG
rnacentral:ncRNA from 1 species